rnacentral:rRNA from 1 species
GGGGAAUAUUGCGCAAUGGGGGCGACCCUGACGCAGCCAUGCCGCGUGAAUGAAGAAGGCCUUCGGGUUGUAAAGUUCUUUCGGUAGCGAGGAAGGCACUUAGUUUAAUAAACUAGGUGAUUGACGUUAACUACAGAAGAAGCACCGGCUAACUCCGUGCCAGCAGCCGCGGUAAUACGGAGGGUGCGAGCGUUAAUCGGAAUAACUGGGCGUAAAGGGCACGCAGGCGGUGACUUAAGUGAGGUGUGAAAGCCCCGGGCUUAACCUGGGAAUUGCAUUUCAUACUGGGUCGCUAGAGUACUUUAGGGAGGGGUAGAAUUCCACGUGUAGCGGUGAAAUGCGUAGAGAUGUGGAGGAAUACCGAAGGCGAAGGCAGCCCCUUGGGAAUGUACUGACGCUCAUGUGCGAAAGCGUGGGGAGCAAACAGGAUUAGAUACCCUGGUAGUCCACGCUGUAAACGAUGUCGAUUUGGGGGUUGAACUUUGAGUUUGGCGCCCGUAGCUAACGUGAUAAAUCGACCGCCUGGGGAGUACGGCCGCAAGGUUA